AAUAAAUACUAUUAUCUAAAUAAUACAUAGAUGAAAGUCUCCGUAAUUGUACUGUAGUUGACACGUGUUCAAAUUUAAUUCCUUGACACCUUUUUUUUACAAAUUUUAGAAUUUAAGAAAAAAUUUGCUUGGCCAUGGAUAAGAUUCAAGCGUACAAAGCAGAUUUUGAAUUCCUAGCGUUGCAAUUUAACAAAAAAUUAAAACUGAAGCUUCCCGAAAGCUUCUUUAGGCAAACGGCACUGAAAAAAGGAAGAAAUAGAAGGGGAAGGGGAAGGGAAAAGGGAUCCAUGAGAAAGAGAAGUAGGAGACGGAAAAGAGGAAGGAAUCACUGCCAACGAAAACUGCGAUCGACGAUGAAGAAACGAAUGGUGAGGCAGCGAGAAAGGGACAUUUGACCACUUGCCUUUUAUUACGGGUCAAGUCCAGAAUCUGUCUCCUCACUCUCAUGAUUGAAUUGAUGUCAUGAAGCUAGUCAACGGUAUACUUGUGAAUUUUUAGCCUUGCAGAAAUUGGCUUAAUGUAGCAAAGCAUGAGAAUAACUUCACAUUAUGCUUAAUGCUUGCAUCAUCUUUCUUUUUAUUUUGUAAGAUGUAAAUAAAGUUGUUUGGCUGCUUAUGAAAUUGGGAGAGAAAAAGCAAAAAAAAAGCAGAAACAAAAGGUAUGUAACAAAGCAUGUGGAAAGUCUUGACUGCUUAAUUUUAAAAUAGCUUGUUACGUUUUAUAGUUUGAAAAUUUAACAGAGCUAAUUUCCAACAUGUGAGUAUGGAACAUAGCUCGCUCGUUUUAUGGCACUAUAGGUUGUUAGUGUUCGUUCUUUAUUGUUAAUUACUAUGUUGUAACUGUUUAGAUGUCACAAACUCAAGUUAACAGCAUGAAGGCUUGAUAAGUCUGUCUUAAUAAGGUUUUCAUUUGUAUGUAACUAGCUGUUCUGGAAAUUCUGGUUGUGACUACUUUCUUUUGUUG